AGAGUUUGAUCAUGGCUCAGAAUCAACGCUGGCGGCGCGCCUAACACAUGCAAGUCGAACGAGAAAGCAGGAGCAAUCUUGUGAGUAAAGUGGCGUACGGGUGAGUAACACGUGGAUUAUCUACCCUCUUGUGGGGGAUAACCCUGGGAAACCGGGGCUAAUACCGCAUAAGCUCGAGAGAGGAAAGCAGCAAUGCGCAGGAGGAGGAGUCCGCGGCCGAUUAGCUAGUUGGUAGGGUAAAAGCCUACCAAGGCAACGAUCGGUAGCCGGCCUGAGAGGGCACACGGCCACACUGGCACUGAAACACGGGCCAGACUCCUACGGGAGGCAGCAGUGGGGAAUCUUGCACAAUGGGGGCAACCCUGAUGCAGCGACGCCGCGUGAGCGAUGAAGCCCUUCGGGGUGUAAAGCUCUUUCGGCAGGGAAGAUUAUGACGGUACCUGCAGAAGCAG
rnacentral:rRNA from 1 species